rnacentral:lncRNA from 1 species
GGGUGUCACUGCGUAGUUAUAGCAACGGAGGAUGGACUCCUUUCUGGGGUUUUGUUGGUUUCACAGUUUUUGGGCUUUUUGCGGUGGAGUUGUUUCAUAAGGACUGGGAUGGGGUUGUAUUGCCGGAGGAGGUUCGGGCUUUGUAGGAUGGGGUUGCAGCAUGCAUUUUGUUAUUUCUGUUAAGGCGGCUCUUUGGCCAAAGGGUGUUUCCGUGGGUGCGGGAGUUCUUGGGAUGGAUGGUCGUUGGGCGGUUUUUCUUUUGUUUCCGCGACGUGCAUCUCCAUGGCUUCGGCGAGGAGGGCGUGCCUUUCUUUUUCAAACGAUCUGGUUGCUGUUGCUGCUUGCCAAUUCGCUGUUGUGUCCUUCUCGUGGGCUGCUG